rnacentral:lncRNA from 1 species
CACAGGAAGUUGUUCUCACCGCUGCAGCAGUGACACAGGAAGUUGUUCUCACCACUGCAGGUGCAGAAAACAAGCCUGGAUACUCAUGACAGCCUAUGAGGGGCCAGGCACUGACUGAGCUAACAACCUGCGGAGCUGAGAGCUGGGAGCUCCAAAAACGCCAGCAGGGAAGAAGCAGUGGGACCAAAGCAACCCCUUCCUGCAUGUGCCUCCAAAAGAGACCUUUCCUUUUCUAAUAGGAUGGUGUCUCGCUCUGUUGCCCGGCUGGAGUGCAGUGGCACCAUCUCAGCUCACUGCAAGCUCCGCCUCCUGGGUUCACGCCAUUCUCCUGCCUCAGCCUCCUGAGUAGCUGGGACUACAGGCGCCCGCCACCAUGCCCGGCUAAUUUUUGUAUUUUUAGUAGAGAUGGGGUUUCAGAAUGUUUGCCAGGAUGGUCUUGGUCUCUUGACCUUGUGAUCCGCGUGCCUCCCAAAGUGCUGGGAUUACAGGCAUGAGCCACUGCACCUGGCCUAUCUCCCCUUUCUAGUACUUAAAUGCUUUUUUCACUUUCUCAACCAAGGGAGUCACUUUGGUUUUCCUGCCUUUGGAAGACGUAAAAAUGAGAAUUCCAUACCUAUGGCAUAAAGUGUAUGGCAUAAAUUUGAA